rnacentral:misc_RNA from 1 species
GAAACGCGAUAUGUAAUGUGAAUUGCAUAAUUCCGUGAAUCAUCAAAUCUUUGAACGCACAUUGCACUCUGUUUACGCAGAGUAUGCCUGUUUGAGAAUCUAUAGUAUUCAUUUCUGGGUAGUUUACCUAGGAGAUUUGCACUGUGUCUAGCUUUUGCUCUGACUAACGCUAAAUAUAUUACUUGACUGGCAGUAGAUGUUUGACCCUGCUAUGUUACUGAAAGCUAUGAAUGAGACGCAAGUUUCUUUAGGUGGUAGGUAAUGGGUGGGUAGUUUAUUGCUGGGUAGAGUUCAUACCUUAUAGACUCUGGCCUAGCCAGUGAUCUGAACCAAGGUCUCAAAUCAGGUAGGAAGACCCGCUGAACUUAA